UGGGGAAUAUUGCACAAUGGGCGCAAGCCUGAUGCAGCAACGCCGCGUGAGGGACGACGGCCUUCGGGUUGUAAACCUCUUUUAGUAGGGAAGAAGUGAAAGUGACGGUACCUGCAGAAAAAGCACCGGCUAACUACGUGCCAGCAGCCGCGGUAAUACGUAGGGUGCGAGCGUUGUCCGGAAUUAUUGGGCGUAAAGAGCUCGUAGGCGGUCUGUCGCGUCUGCUGUGAAAACCCCGAGGCUCAACCUCGGGCCUGCAGUGGGUACGGGCAGACUAGAGUGCGGUAGGGGAGAAUGGAAUUCCUGGUGUAGCGGUGGAAUGCGCAGAUAUCAGGAGGAACACCGAUGGCGAAGGCAGUUCUCUGGGCCGUAACUGACGCUGAGGAGCGAAAGCGUGGGGAGCGAACAGGAUUAGAUACCCUGGUAGUCCACGCCGUAAACGUUGGGCGCUAGAUGUGGGGGCCAUUCCACGGUUUCCGCGUCGGCAGCUAACGCAUUAAGCGCCCCGCCU
rnacentral:rRNA from 1 species